GCGUUUCCUGUGUCAUUUGGGGAGCACGUGUUACUCCUCCAGGAAGACGCGACACUCCUGGCAUAUGGCUGCUGUGGAAGAAAACGCUUCGUUGUUGUCGAACCCUUGGCAGACAUUGUGAAACCACCGAUUGCAAUGUUCACAUAGAAACCAGCCAUCUAUUUCCCUGUCACAGGUGCUUGUGGAUGGAGCCUCCCGGCUGGUACAAAAGGCCUGGACAAUGCUGGCAGAAUAUCCUGUUCACAGUCAAAUGGUGGUGGAAUGGGGAUAUCGUCGUGUGAAUUGGUGUCCUCACGGUCCAGAAGUGAAUAAAAAUGAGUGGUUUGAUGAAAAUGGGCAAGAACAAUUCUGAUAAGUUAUAGGGGAUGAGGCCCUGUUCAACUAGUGGGUUCUGCUGGACAAAAUGGCCACAUGCAUGGCACAAUGCAGGGGGUGCACAACUGGUUUGGUCAUCUUUAUGUAAUGGAAAGAGAAAUGAAACAUCACCAAAUCAAUUACCAUGGACUUCAUCAUGGUGUGAAACCUGAUGUUUGUCAGCAGGGGCCAGCUGCAUCUGACUUAUGACCUGGGGAUUAAACGGGUAAAUUCCAGUCUUUCUGAAAGCCUCCUUGAUAUGAUGAGGACUAAAUGUCUGGUCUAUUGCAGAAGAUAACACCGGUGCAAAUCUAAUGAAGAUGGAAAGGGAACACUGGUAGACAUCAAAAAUGUGUCCUUACUUUGCCUUUCCAAUCACCAAGUCUUUCCUGGCAUACACAAGGUUGACGGCAGUGUCUGAAAAUUUAGUUUUCAUGGGCUUAAACAAAGCCACAUCCAAGGGCUGUGUUACAUGG